UACAGAGGCCUCGAGCGUUAAUCGGAAUCACUGGGCUUAAAGGGCGCGUAGGCGGGUUUUCAAGUCUGGGGUGAAAUCCUCUCGCUCAACGAGAGAACUGCCCUGGAUACUGGAGACCUCGAGGGAGGUAGGGGCAUGUGGAACUUCCGGUGGAGCGGUGAAAUGCGUAGAUAUCGGAAGGAACGCCGGUGGCGAAAGCGACGUGCUGGACCUCUUCUGACGCUGAGACGCGAAAGCGUGGGGAGCAAACAGG
rnacentral:rRNA from 1 species